rnacentral:misc_RNA from 1 species
AAUGAUUCUACUUCCUGCACCAAACCAAUCAUGUUCUCUAGCUAAAAAUUCUAUUUGCCUGUAAUCAUCUACAUCAUCAAGAAUAAUAAGAAGCUUUUUGAGACGAAGUUGUUUCAUGUUAAAAACCAGUCUUGAGUUGGUAUUCCCUUCAUUUAGUAUUCUGACAAGAAGUUCAUCUCGUAAUUGCCCUAGAUUGCAACCACGGACGUUUUCAAGCAAGUAACUGCCAUCAAACUGGGAAGAAAAUUUUUCAUGUACAACUUCAGCAAUAGUUGUUUUGCCUAUACCACCCAUUCCCCAUAUU